GACAGAGGUGCCGAGCGUUAGGCGGAAUCACUGGGCUUAAAGCGUGUGUAGGCGGAUUCCUAAGUACCUUGUGAAAUCCCAUGGCUCAACCAUGGAGCUGCUUGGUAUACUGGGUGUCUUGAGCCAACUAGGGGCUACCGGAACAAAUGGUGGAGCGGUGAAAUGCGUAGAUAUCAUUUGGAACGCCAAUGGUGAAAACAGGUAGCUGGGGUUGUGCUGACGCUGGAGACACGAGAGCCAGGGGGAGCGAACGGGG
rnacentral:rRNA from 1 species